rnacentral:rRNA from 1 species
GCCUAACCAUAACACAACAAUAAAUCACUAAUUGUUCGCCAAAUAACUACGAGUAAAAACUUAAAAUUUAAAAGACUUGACGGUACCUCACAACAGCCUAGAGGAGCCUGUUCAAUAACCGAUACUCCACGAUUAACCCAGCCCCCCCUAGCCUACCAGUCUAUAUACCGCCGUCGCCAGCCUACCUUAUGAAAGAAACAAAGUAAGCCAAAUAGCCACACACUAACACGACAGGUCGAGGUGUAACUAAUGAGGGGGCCUAGAAUGGGCUACAUUUUCUAAAUUAGAUAACACGAAUAAACCAUGAAAUAAGAAACUGAAGGCGGAUUUAGCAGUAUACUACGAACAAAAUACCUAGUCGAAACUAACGCAAUGAGGUGCGUACACACCGCCCGUCAUCCCUGUCAACUAAAAUUAAACAUCCAUAAUAUAUCAACAAACCACAAAACAGGGCAAGUCGUAACACGGUAAGCGUACUGGAAAGUGCGCUUAGAAA